UACAGAGGUCCCAAGCGUUGUUCGGAUUCACUGGGCGUAAAGGGUGCGCAGGUGGCCAAGUGUGUGAGGCGUGAAAGCCCGGGGCUUAACCCCGGAAUUGCACCUCAAACUACAUGGCUAGAGCAUUGGAGAGGGGAGCAGAAUUCACGGUGUAGCAGUGAAAUGCGUAGAUAUCGUGAGGAAUACCAGAGGCGAAGGCGGCUCCCUGGACAAUUGCUGACACUCAGGCACGAAAGCGUGGGGAGCAAAAGGG
rnacentral:rRNA from 1 species